rnacentral:rRNA from 1 species
UGGGGAAUAUUGCACAAUGGGCGCAAGCCUGAUGCAGCCAUGCCGCGUGUGUGAAGAAGGCCUUCGGGUUGUAAAGCACUUUCAGCGAGGAGGAAGGCGUUAAGGUUAAUAACCUUGGCGAUUGACGUUACUCGCAGAAGAAGCACCGGCUAACUCCGUGCCAGCAGCCGCGGUAAUACGGAGGGUGCAAGCGUUAAUCGGAAUUACUGGGCGUAAAGCGCACGCAGGCGGUUUGUUAAGUCAGAUGUGAAAUCCCCGAGCUUAACUUGGGAACUGCAUUUGAAACUGGCAAGCUAGAGUCUUGUAGAGGGGGGUAGAAUUCCAGGUGUAGCGGUGAAAUGCGUAGAGAUCUGGAGGAAUACCGGUGGCGAAGGCGGCCCCCCUGGACAAAGACUGACGCUCAGGUGCGAAAGCGUGGGGCAGCAAACAGGAUUAGAUACCCUGGUAGUCCACGCUGUAAAACGAUGUCGAUUUGGAGGUUGUGGGCUUGACCCGUGGCUUCCGGAGCUAACGCGUUAAAUCGACCGCCUGGGGAGUACGGCCGCAAGGUUAAAAC